UACGUAGGUGGCAAGCGUUGUCCGGAUUUACUGGGCGUAAAGCGCGCGUAGGCGGUUUGGCAAGUCCGUGGUGAAAUCUCCCGGCUCAACCGGGAGGGGUCUGCGGAUACUCCCAGACUUGAGUGCCGUAGAGGAAGGUGGAAUUCCCGGUGUAGUGGUGAAAUGCGUAGAUAUCAGGAGGAACACCGGUGGGGAAGGCGGGUCUCUGGGCCGAUACUGACGGUGAGGAGCGAAAGCGUGGGGAGCGAACAGG
rnacentral:rRNA from 1 species